AAUAAAAUUCAAUGUGAUAUUGAAGACUUAAUGAGGAUGGUAGUGUUGGCAGUAUUGAUGUUUUAAAAUUGUGGAAAUUUAAUUAUAAUGUCUAUUGUAAAUGAAUUGUCUUUAAACCUCUCUCACACCACUUUUCCUUUUCCCCCUUUUACAUUAUUUGUUCCCAUCUCCCUCAUAUUUUACAUUCUUUCUUAACCUCUCUCUCUCACAAAAAGAAUGAGCCACCACACCAGCCGCCGCCAACCACUGCCGCCACCGCAUGCGGCCAGCAGACGCCAACUAGCCUGCGAGGAUGUCAUAGAUAGCCAUUACAGGUGAUGAAGCUUCUUUACAUUGCAUACGGGGGAAAUGAGUGAGAAUCCUAAAGUGUACAUAUUCUUUUGUCUACAUGUGGUUUCUUUUAAUGAAGUUGUUUAUGUUUUGAGUUUGAGGUACAUGUCCUCCUCUGUAUAAGUUAUUUCCGCUGCGUUGUUUUUAUGGUUUGUAUGAUUUAAAUAGUUUAUCAUUCUCUUUCUUCUUUUGAACUCAAGCGUUUACAUUGGAACCACGAUCCAUGCUUAGCAUGUGGACCCGAAGAUUAGGCGAUGAUUGUUCCGCCGUGAUAUUUUAUUACAAGGCCGAUGAUGCCUCUUCUUUAUUAUGUUUUAUUGAUCAUUAUUUGUUCAGUGCGUCCAACUUUAGGGCAGAUGCUGCCAAAAUUUUUUGCACAUCUUUUAUGGGAGUUUUCUAAUCCCUUUUAAUUAAAUCAUUCAAACUUUAA